rnacentral:rRNA from 1 species
UACGUAGGGUGCGAGCGUUAAUCGGAAUUACUGGGCGUAAAGCGUGCGUAGGCGGUUCGCUGUGUCCGAUGUGAAAGCCCCGGGCUUAACCUGGGAAUGGCAUUGGAAACUGGCGGGCUUGAGUGCGGCGGAGGGGGGUGGAAUUCCGCGUGUAGCAGUGAAAUGCGUAGAGAUGCGGAGGAACACCGAUGGCGAAGGCAGCCCCCUGGGUCGACACCUGGACGCUCAGGCACGAAAGCGUGGGGAGCAACAAGG